GUAAGGGCAUUUCUUGCUGGAGAUCUCUAUCUACCUGAUGUCUUUUGAAGGGAAGUAGCUCUUUUCUUUCAUUUUUCUGUUCAUGGCUGUUGCUUUGGGCUUGUUGUCAUUUGCUGUAGCCAAAGGCUUUGCCAUCCUGCUAUUCUUGUGGUUCUUUUCGUUCCAUUGUAGCAUUUCACUCUUCAAUGUAACAUUGUUUUCUUUUCUGUUAUUUGGAAUACGUGAAUGUCUGCAAGUCUGCACGCUUCUAAAAUUCAUUCUUAUCUUUCUCACAGCAUACCCUGUUCCCGAGACACUGUAAUGCAUUGCUACAGCCAUAACAGUCUUAGAGAAGCCCUAACCCUUUGUAUUCACAGGAUAAGACAGCAGUGGGGGUGCUGCUCGUUUAUUGCUCAUCUGGGGAGCAGAGUGAGAGAUAAUGUAAGUAGGAGAGCCUCCUAUUUCCAAGGAAAUGUGAAUCACUGGCCUUCCCUCAUCCUUUUUUGACUGCGAACAGCACUGGGGAGCCCUCGGCAGCAGCGAGUAGCUCUGUGACUGGAAAGGAGCCUGUGGUUUGUGAGUAACUUCCACCGCAAAGUGCUUUCAAACUGUGGAAACGGGACGGAAGCGCUUGUUUGGGGUUAUAAAGGACUUCGGUGCCUCCCACGGACUUGCGGUACCAAAGCCGCCCUCAACCCUGCGGGCGCGGCCGGGCCGUGAGGGACCGAGGGCGUUCCGGAGCAGCGCGCAGCCCACUCUUCUCAGCGGCCGCCAUGCUGGGGCCGCGCCGCGGGGCAGCCCUGAGGCGGGAGCGGCGGUCCCGCCUCCCCGUGCCUGCCACGAGCCGCGCGGCUGCAGCGUCAUGAUGGCCCUCACCGGGCCACGCUCUUUGGAUGCGGGGAGAGCUGCAGCCCCAAGCAGGAGCGCUGCCCGCUCGGCCAGCAGCCUUCCUCCACCGUCGUCUCCUGGAAGGUCUACAAGGCGGCCGAGUUCUGCACCGAGGAGCACGGGAGGAACGCGGUGGUGCCGCUGCCCAGGUGAAGGAGGCUUCGCAUGAACCACAGAUGGUGUUUACAGCUCCUCGUGCAGCUACUGCUUUCCAGCCAGAUGCAGAAACAUAGAAGGAAGAGAAAGAGGGAGAAAAAGCUGCUUUGAUGGUUGGCAUUUUAAUUGGAGUUUUUGUACUGUGUGGGAUCCAUUUCUUCAUCACAGAAUUAAUAAGUUCCCCUCUGUUCCUGCAAAAUCACACCCAUUUGGAAAAGCAUCUUUCUUUGGCUUGGCUACUCCAACUCUUCCUUUAAUCCUGUCAUUUAUACGGUAUUUAACAAAUACUACAACCAUGCCUUCAAGAAUCUUUUCCUGAAGCGGAGGUAAAAGGGGACAGAGAGGAAAAUAAUUCCUUUAUUGCACAAUACAGAGAUUUCUGAAGGGAAAUGUGCCAGUGAUACAUGCAGAUUCCAAGCACAAGAGCUAUUUAAGGGGAUUUAGCAACAAAGAAGAUUGAAGAUGUUUGCAUAUAAACCUAUACUUGGUAAUACACAUAUGCUACUCCAGAGUUUGGCAAAGAAAGAUGCAGUGAGUAUCUCCCUUCUUUGAACUGAUGUGUCUGCAAGCAAAGCAUUGUAUCCAUCUAAUGCCAUGACUGUCAAAUCUAACCAGUCAUCUCAUCCAGCCAACCACAGGUGCCAUCCUGCAGCUUGCUCAUCAUCAGUAACAGCACCGAUGGGAACUGCUGACUGACCAACACUGAAAUGUUUGCGAUGCGGGCAGGAUGUUGGCUUCAUUCCGGCGACUUUUUUGGAAAGGAGAGAAUAGACAGAAUGAACGUGCUGCGUUCAGUCCAUUGCUGAAUUUCUCUGAAAUUAAGAGGGAUGACUAAACAGCCCCAAAUCACACCUAGGUGUGGCUGAGGGGCUGUGUUCUCUUGCACACAGCAGCUCAGGAGGAAGGGUUGGUGAAGGUCAGUUACGUCCCCCAGGUUAAAUGAAACUUUAAAGCCAAGCGUAAAAGCUGUUCUGAGCCACAAAGGUUAUACUUGCACCCGCUUGCAAAGGAGGAGGAUGUAGCCAGGAAUUUUUCACCUGUGUUGUGUUCUCUCACCCUGCAGAGCUCAUGCUCUCUCUGAAACAGGCACGAGAGUUCAAGACAGAUGCCUGCUACCUCCAGCAGUGAUUGUAUAUGUUAUUAUUUUAUGUUGCCUUAAGCCUAAGCAUGCACGUGCUGUCACGAGCACAAAACAUGCUGUUAUUUACUAGCAGCAACACAGCUGUUCUGUUAGCUGCAGGUGAAAGACUGCAUUGCCCCUUCUAGGCUCCUUGCAUCAUAAAUGUAUUCAUCACUUCAACUGUAUAAAUUCCACUGUUUGUCAUUUUGAGUCAACUUCUUCCUGUGAGAUAGAUCUGAGGGCAGCAAUAGCUGAGUGAAUCCAAAAAUAUAUAUAUAUAUAAAAUGGCUUGAUAUCUGGAACUUUAGAAAGUACCAUAAAGCCGGAAGGCUAGUAUGCAGUUCUACUUGGACUGAGACUGUUGCAAGUGCUAUAAUGCAUCAGAGCUGUCUUCAGCUAGCCUGUGGAGAUCCCCACCCUGUGGAAAAAAGGAAUUUAGCUUCCUUAAGAUGUGAAUUUUAGGUUCUAUAGUUCCACUGAGUUUUCAGUAUAACUAGUUUUGUGCUCUGUCCCCCCAAGCAACUGUGACAGCAGUUUGUUAGUGAUUUGUUAGUGCUAUGCUUCCACUGAAAGAAACCUGACUUCGUAGCCAGAGGAGAUGAGAAACAAGGGGAGCUUUCAUUUCACUACAGUGCAGUUUUAGAAAGCUCUUCCCACUGUCAUCUUCCCUUACUGGCUCUGUGCAUGUUUGUAUUUAGAAGAGCAGUAGCGCAUAUUCAGGAUUUGAAACCCCAACUUUUAAUUAUAUAGAAUUUGAUCUCAACCUAGGGGAAAGAAAUAAAGCAUCCAGGCUCACAGCCUAACCUGCUGUAUGCUGCUUCCUGCUGAAAGCCAGACCAGGCACUGCCAUUCUCUGACCUCCUGCACAGCAAGCACAGGUUCCACCCACUGAUUUAGCUAUCAAGCCCAAUAUUUGGUGUAGGAGGAGCAUAUCUCUCAGAAAGUCAUCAACCUUGAUUUAAAAGGUUGGAACAGUGGAUAAUUUUCUACCUCCCUUAGUACUUUAUUUCCAGGAUUAACUACUCCCAUUAUCAAAACCUGCGACUUCAUUUUACUUGAAAGAAAAUGAAAGAGUAAAAUAAAGCAUGCAGACAUUCCUCUUUGUGCCAGUUCAAAUCUUACGUUACUGCUGAGCUGUUGUCCUUGGCUUCAAGACAGAACAAAGAACAUACAGAAUGUACAACUCUGUGUAUUAAGAUGAGUGAUAAAGUAUCUUGAAUAAGAAAUAAUAAAUCAUUUUUAAGAAGUUAUUCUAAAGAAAAAUCAUUUAGCAGUGCUUAGACAUAGUCAUUUAUUUCCCCAAAUAUGAGUUGCCAGUUUAGAAUAAACCACUUAUUUCUGCCUAAA